AAAGGAAUUGACGGGCACCCGCACAAGCGGUGGAGCAUGCUGUUUAAUUCGAAGAUACGCGAAGAACCUUACCUAGACUUGACAUCCCGGGCAAAGCUAUAGAAAUAUAGUGGAGGUUAUCCCGGUGACAGGUGGUGCAUGGUUGUCGUCAGCUCGUGUCGUGAGAUGUUCGGUUAAGUCCGCUAACGAGCGCAACCCUUGUCUUUAGUUGCUAACAUUAAGUUGAGAACCCUAAAGAGACUGCCGGUGAUAAACCGGAGGAAGGUGGGGAUGACGUCAAAUCAUCAUGCCCCUUACGUCUAGGGCUACAGGCGUGCUAUAAUGGCCGAUACAAAGAGAAGCGAACCAGUGAUGGGGAGCAAAGCUAUAAAGUCGGUCUCAGUUCGGAUUGAAGUCUGCAACUCGACUUCAUGAAGUUAGAAUCGCUAGUAAUCCUGAAUCAGAAUGUCAGGGUGAAUACGUUCCCGGGUGUUGUACACACCGCCCGU
rnacentral:rRNA from 1 species